rnacentral:rRNA from 1 species
CAGCACCUCAAGUGGUCAGGAUGAUUAUUGGGCCUAAAGCAUCCGUAGCCUGCUUUGUCAGUUUUCGGUUAAAUCCAUACGCUCAACGUAUGGGCCGCCGGGAAUACUGCAAAGCUAGGGAGUGGGAGAGGUAGACGGUACUCGGUAGGAAGGGGUAAAAUCCUUUGAUCUAUUGAUGACCACCUGUGGCGAAGGCGGUCUACCAGAACAUGUCCGACGGUGAGGGAUGAAAGCUGGGGGAGCAAACCGGGAUUAGAUACCCCGGGUAGUCCCAGCUGUAAACUAUGCAAACUCGGUGAUGCAUUGGCUUGAUGCCAAUGCAGUGCCGCAGGGAAGCCGUUAAGUUUGCCGCCUGGAAGUACGUACGCAAGUAUG